UACGUAGGGUGCAAGCGUUGUCCGGAAUUAUCGGGCGUAAAGAGCUCGUAGGCGGUCUGUUGCGUCGGCUGUGAAAACCCGGGGCUCAACCCCGGGCCUGCAGCCGAUACGGGCAGACUAGAGUUCGGCAGGGGAGACUGGAAUUCCUGGUGUAGCGGUGAAAUGCGCAGAUAUCAGGAGGAACACCGGUGGCGAAGGCGGGUCUCUGGGCCGAUACUGACGCUGAGGAGCGAAAGCCAGGGGAGCAAACGGG
rnacentral:rRNA from 1 species